rnacentral:rRNA from 1 species
CAGCAGUGGGGAAUCUUGCGCAAUGGGUGGAAGCCUGACGCAGCGACGCCGCGUGUGUGACGAAGGCCUUCGGGUCGUAAAGCACUGUCAGCCGGGAAGAAGACAUGCGUAUAAAUUACGCGUGUGUUGACGGUACCGGCGAAGGAAGCACCGGCCAACUCCGUGCCAGCAGCCGCGGUAAGACGGAGGGUGCAAGCGUUGUUCGGAAUCAUUGGGCGUAAAGGGCGCGCAGGCGGCCUCCCAAGUCCGAUGUGAAAGCCCGGGGCUCAACUCCGGAAGCGCAUUGGAAACUGGGUGGCUUGAGUCCGAGAGGGGACCGUGGAAUUCCUGGUGUAGGGGUGAAAUCCGUAGAGAUCAGGAGGAACACCGGAGGUGAAAACGACGGUCUGGAUCGGGACUGACGCUGAGGCGCGAAAGCGCGGGUAGCGAACAGGAUUAGA